rnacentral:rRNA from 1 species
CCUACGGGAGGCAGCAGUGAGGAAUAUUGGUCAAUGGACGAGAGUCUGAACCAGCCAAGUAGCGUGAAGGAUGACUGUCCUAUGGGUUGUAAACUUCUUUUAUAUGGGAAUAAAAUGUUCCACGUGUGGGAUUUUGUAUGUACCAUAUGAAUAAGGAUCGGCUAACUCCGUGCCAGCAGCCGCGGUAAUUCGGAGGAUCCGAGCGUUAUCCGGAUUUAUUGGGUUUAAAGGGAUCGUAGGUGGAUUGUUAAGUCAGUUGUGAAAGUUUGCGGCUCAACCGUAAAAUUGCAGUUGAAACUGGCAGUCUUGAGUACAGUAGAGGUGGGCGGAAUUCGUGGUGUAGCGGUGAAAUGCUUAGAUAUCACGAAGAACUCCGAUUGCGAAGGCAGUUCACUGGACUGCAACUGACACUGAGGCUCGAAAGUGUGGGUAUCAAACAGGAUUAGAUACCCUUGUAGUC